CUGACCGCAUCCGCGUGCAGUCAAGUCAUCUUCAUUUAUAUGGCGCUUUUUACAAUACAGAUUGUUUCAAAGCAGCUUCACAUUGAUAUUAGGAAAAUUAAUGGACAGAUUGUUUUGGCUUUACAGCAGCUCUAGGGAAAAGUUAUUAUAAAAGUUUUUGAUUGAAUCACUUCCGUUGUAAAAAUCGUUAAUUAUUACUUAGGGGCCGCUUAAACGACACCUUUUAACUGAAAACAGAAGACUUUUAAUGCGUUCUUGCCGUUCAUUUACAUGUUUAGUCUAUAGGUAUGCGCGUUUGAGUGUGUAGCCUAUGUGUGCAGACGCUUAGUCUUUUUUUUUAAAAAGUGAUAUUUGCCAAAUUACUUGUCUGGUCCGCAUAAUACAGAAUAAUUAGUCGUUUCUACGGAUCCAUGGGAACUGGAAUCAUUUUGAUAAUGUUUUAUCCAUACAUAGGGAAAGGACAGAGAAAUGAGCCUUCGCAUUAGUUGACAUGUCAGGGCAGCGUUAUCAUCAUGUCUAGAUGCAGGUCCUUCAUCUCAUCUGGAUACGGCCUGGAUCUGGCAGACUGUGGCAAACCUCGGGAUAAACAUAGAGAGACUAAUAUUAGCAUAGACGUCAUUCUUCUUAUGAUGUAACGAGUACAUCAGGUGUUAUGGGAAGUGUUCCCGGUUCCAGCUGACCUAAUCUAUGCAGUAACAAUUUACAUGAUUUGAAUUAAGUAGAUAAUGUGUUAUGUGUAUGCCAGGUUAAAGAGAUGCGUUUUUAGUCUAGAUUUAAACUGACAGAGUGUGUCUGCUUCCCGAACAAUGCUAGGAAGAUUGUUCCAGAGUUUAGGUGCCAAAUAGGAGAAGGAUCUACCGCCUGGGGUUGAUUUUGAUAUUCUAGGUAUUAUCAGCUGGCCUGAAUUCUGAGAUCGCAAUAGACGUGAAGGACUAUAAUGAAUUAGGAGCUCGCUCAGGUACUGGGGAGCUAAACCAUUUAGUGCUUUGUAAGUAAUUAGCAAGAUUUUAAAAUCUAUACGAUGUUUAACAGGAAGCCAAUGCAGUGUUGACAGAACUGGGCUAAUAUGGUCAUACUUCCUGGUUCUAGUAAGAACUCUAGCUGCUGCAUUUUGUACGAGCUGUAGUUUAUUUAUCAGGCGAGCAGAACAACCACCCAGUAGAGCGUUACAGUAAUCUAGCCUUGAGGUCAUGAACGCAUGAACUAACUGUUCUGCAUUUUUCAUUGAGAGCAUAUGUCGUAGUUUAGAUAUAUUUUUAAGAUGGAAGAAUGUGGUUUUACAGAUGCUAGAAACAUGGCCUUCAAAUGAAAGAUUGGUAUCAAAAAGCACACCCAGGUUCCUAACUGACGACGAAGACUUAACAGAGCAGCCAUCAAGUGUUAGACAGUAUUCUAGGUUAUUACGUGGAGAAGUUUUUGGUCCAAAAAUUAAAAUCUCUGUUUUUUUCUGAAUUUAGUAGUAGGAAAUUGCUAGUGAUCCAAUUUUUUAUAUCAGCUAUGCAUUCUGUUAAUUUUGUGAAUUGGUAAGUUUCGUCGGGGCGUGAAGAAAUAUAGAGCUGAGUAUCAUCAGCGUAACAGUGAAAACUAACGCCAUGCUUCCUAAUGAUAUCUCCCAAGGGUAGCAUGUACAGAGUGAACAGCAACGGUCCUAGUACUGAGCCUUGUGGUACUCCAUAUUGAACUUGUGAUCUAUAUGACAUCUCUUCGUUCACUACUACAAACUGAUAACGUUCAGAUAAGUAUGAUUUAAACCAUGCCAAUGCAAUUCCACUAAUGCCAACAUAAUUUUUGAGUCUAUUUAAAAGAAUGUUUUGAUCGAUAGAAUGUUGUGAUUGUGCUGGAAAAGAGAGAGUCAAUAUUUCUGUUGUAACAUCAAGUUCUUCUAAGCUAUCUGGUAUGCUAAUGAGAGGAAACUGAUCAGGAAGAUUAUUUAUAAAGCGAAUUUCUUAACAAAACAAUAAUAACACUCUCUAUUGUUUAUAAUUCACUGCAAUUUAUGUUACAUGAACCAUGUUUACAUAACAGUACAAAAUUAUUCAGAAGUUUUUCCCUUUUGAAUGGUUGAUAAUGAAAUUGAAAGACUAAUGCUUGGUGUUCAGUUUUAUCUGAUUGCUUUGAUAGUAUUUGAUUUUUUUUAGAUUCAGUAUAUAUUUCAUUACAAUAUUACUGUAGAAAUACAGCAUAUUUCUGUCUUGUUUUGUAUUAUGUUGUUGUUUUGAACUUGUAAGCUUGUGCAAAUUGGCCUGUAGGUACACUGAGUUUUGGUGUUUGUUGUGUCAAAGUGAGAAAAGAAUUAAUGUAAUUUGAAAGAUGUCGUCAUUGAAUGCAUUUUGUGCCAAAGCAAUGAUAAAUGAUCCACAGUUUAUCCCACAUAGAUUUAUGUUGUGCUCACUGUCUGAAGAGUUUUGAAAAAGAGACCCAAGUAUUGUAUUUUAAAUAAAACGGAUUUUUAAAAAAAUAAGAUAUUUAACAUUUUCAGCUUGUUGUUUUAUCAGAGUCGCUGAUUCAUUAUCACACAUUCAUGUUUGAUGACUAAACAUUAAAGGAUUUGCCAAUAGAUGUGAAAUAAUGACUGUAGUAAAAUCAGUGAGUCAGUCUUCCUCGUUUGUUAUGGAUUCCACAAACGUGUUUGAGCGAUUAGUCAUGAAACAUGAGAGAUGAGGGAGGCGACGAGAACGAAAGUGAAUCAAAAAGUAUUUAUAAACAAAACUUACUUAAGCACCACUGUGGGAAAGUAAAUAAAAAACAUAAUUAACAUAAAAUAAUAGACACGUUCCAACGUAACAACCAGGCCUGCAGAACAUAAAAUCCCUAAUAAACUAAACUAAUACAUAAAGCAAACAAGUAAUCACAACAAAGCAACCCAAAAUAACAGGAAACCAAAGAGGGUAACAGAAGAGGCCAAAUCAGAGACCCAAAAACCCUUCUGUCAUUCUCUGCAGGUGUUUCACAUGAUGAUUACCUCCAAAGUCCCGCCUCACUGCCGACUAAAGGCAGGUGCAAAAUGUGCAAUUUUGGCCACGAUUUGGUUGUUUGAGACAAAUUUUGAGAAUCCUAAAAGAUUCCUAUAAUCCUAGGCUAAAAUCUGUAGUCUUUGAUCGCUAGUUUGACAUGUUCACAGACAGCCGAUUAAUGACCGUUGCGAUCAAAUUUUUCCUCCGACGAAAUUCUGGUAGUGUGAGAAGAUUUGGCGCACAGUCCUGCAGUGUGAUCUCUCCUACAACAAACGUCAAAUUGUCUUCGUUUUUCAAGACAAGCCGUGAUCAAAAUUAACGCUAGAGAUGUCUUUGUUAGCCACCAUUUCAGUCCCGUGUGUAAUGCAGCUCACAGUCACCGAACGUAAAACUCCAGACAAGUUUUCAUGUGCACGUCUGUUUUUAACAUGUCUUGACUGUUGUACAGUCUGACAUAAAUGACAGCUGAGAUCCCACAGCGUGACAUGAGGAUCAGGAUCGUACAGUCUGACAAGCAACAAUCGUAAAGGACUGUUAUAAAUCGCACAGUGUGCACCCGCUUUAGGUAGUAUGGGCCCAGAGGCAUGUCACAGAUGUGUGUUACAGUAACAAGAACACAGACUGACGGCAGACGAGCAGAAGACUGAAAACAAUACCAGACCUUCCCACAUGAACAACAUGACCUAAUAAACCUGUCACACUCGAUCUCCUCCAGUCCUUCUGACAGUUUAGACUCUUUUAUCAAGUAAAAAUCGUGUUACAGUUUUUUUUCAAUUGCUAACAUACUUUUGUCCAAUCUGUAGUCACAUUCUCAAAACUCUAAACACAUUUAGCAGAAUAUCCGUCUGUUGUGGCCAUACCAUUAACACAAUUCAUGUCAUUUUCACUCAAAAUGCAGUCAAUUAACACGUUUCUAAAAUGGUUACAUUUUCUUUUCAUAUAAGCUUACCCCGUACCAAAAUCAUGGAUCUUUCUCAUCUUAUUUGCAAAUGCUUAAACACAGCAAGUCAGAAAUGAAGACCUAAUGUUCCAAUCUUUAAAUAUAGGAUAAAACUGAAUUUUAAAAACUACGGAUUUCAUAUAGAACUGAAGCAGGACAAGUAAUGCAGUUUUCAUAAUGCCAUCAACUGUUAGUAUUUUGACAGUCAUUGCGCUUUGACUAUAUGUUCAUGUUGGAUAGAAAACUAGUGCUAGAGUUUUGACAGAACGACUCUAUUUUGAAUCAGGUUUGCUGUGUUUUGAUAGAGUUAGUAUAUGUUGAAAAAGGUUUUUAGCAUUUUGAAAUGUAGAGUUUGUGCUUAUUUAACAAAAUAUGGUUUUGGGCAGAAAAUUAACUAUUUGGCUAAUUGUGUGAUGUAGGUGUGUUGCUUUGUCAAGAGUUUAGAAAAAGUACUUUAAGUAUUGGUAAACGCUUGUUAGCAAUUGAAAAAAUCUGUAAUUAGGUUAAUUAUCUGAACAUGCUCCUGCUGAACUUUGUUAAUAAAACAUCAUGUUUUAUGUUUGCAGUUUUAUGUAUUUAUUAUGACAGACAGACAGACACACACACAGAGAGAGAGAGAGAGAGAGAGGACAGAUAAAGCUCCUGUAUGCAUGUUAUUGAGUCACACCCACUUCACUCCUUUCUCUCUUUUUCAUUUCGGUUUUCCCUCCACAGUUCUGAAGUUCUUGGUAGAGUUGGAGUUCUCGAUGGCUCACAAACGGAGGAUCAGAAGCUACGUUCUAAUGUGUACAUGUCUGCUGGCGCUGCCGUCCGGACGGGACGCUCUCACCUGCUGCAGAAGAGAUUUCAGCAACGGAUCAACUUCCUGUCAGCUGAGUGACGCUCCAGAUCCCACCUGUGACACAGAAUGGAUUGCUGACAUCUCUGUCCGUCUUCAGAUGAACUCGCCGCAGAAUCGCAGCACACUAAUAACGCUGUAAACAAGAGCACUAAUGACAGCGUCUUCAUCCUCCUGUCCAUCAUCAUCAUCUUCACUGUAUAGUUGAUACACACAUUUCAAAGUCAGAUCAAAGUCUUUCUGCAAGAUGUUGAUGCUUCAAAAUAAAACAUGUA